UGCGAAGCGUGGGGAGCAAACAGAUAGAUACCUGGUAGUCACGCUGUAAACGAUGUCGAUUUGGAGGUUGUUCCCUUGAGGAGUGGCUUCCGGAGCUAACGCGUUAAAUCGACCGCUGGGGAGUACGGCCGCAAGGUUAAAACUCAAAUGAAUUGACGGGGGCCCGCACAGCGGUGGAGCAUGUGGUUUAAUUCGAUGCAACGCGAAGAACCUUACCUACUCUUGACAUCCAGAGAAUUUAGCAGAGAUGCUUUAGUGCCUUCGGGAACUCUGAGACAGGUGCUGCAUGGCUGUCGUCAGCUCGUGUUGUGAAAUGUUGGGUUAAGUCCCGCAACGAGCGCAACCCUUAUCCUUUGUUGCCAGCACGUUAUGGUGGGAACUCAAAGGAGACUGCCGGUGAUAAACCGGAGGAAGGUGGGGAUGACGUCAAGUCAUCAUGGCCCUUACGAGUAGGGCUACACACGUGCUACAAUGGCGUAUACAAAGAGAAGCGACCUCGCGAGAGCAAGCGGAACUCAUAAAGUACGUCGUAGUCCGGAUUGGAGUCUGCAACUCGACUCCAUGAAGUCGGAAUCGCUAGUAAUCGUAGAUCAGAAUGCUACGGUGAAUACGUUCCCGGGCCUUGUACACACCGCCCGUCACACCAUGGGAGUGGGUUGCAAAAGAAGUAGGUAGCUUAACCUUCGGGAGGGCGCUUACCACUUUGUGAUUCAUGACUGGGGUGAAGUCGUAACAAGGUAACCA
rnacentral:rRNA from 1 species